UACGUAGGGUGCAAGCGUUGUCCGGAAUUAUUGGGCGUAAAGAGCUUGUAGGCGGUUUGUCGCGUCUGCUGUGAAAUUUCGGGGCUCAACCCCGAACUUGCAGUGGGUACGGGCAGACUAGAGUGUGGUAGGGGAGACUGGAAUUCCUGGUGUAGCGGUGAAAUGCGCAGAUAUCAGGAGGAACACCGAUGGCGAAGGCAGGUCUCUGGGCCACUACUGACGCUGAGAAGCGAAAGCAUGGGGAGCGAACUGG
rnacentral:rRNA from 1 species